AUACGUAGGGUGCAAGCGUUAAUCGGAAUUACUGGGCGUAAAGCGUGCGCAGGCGGUUUUGUAAGACAGUGGUGAAAUCCCCGGGCUCAACCUGGGAACUGCCAUUGUGACUGCAAGGCUGGAGUGCGGCAGAGGGGGAUGGAAUUCCGCGUGUAGCAGUGAAAUGCGUAGAUAUGCGGCGGAACACCGAUGGCGAAGGCAAUCCCCUGGGCCUGCACUGACGCUCAUGCACGAAAGCGUGGGGAGCAAACAGGAUUAGAUACCCUGGUAGUCCACGCCCUAAACGAUGUCAACUGGUUGUUGGGGAUUUAUUUUCUCAGUAACGAAGCUAACGCGUGAAGUUGACCGCCUGGGGAGUACGGCCGCAAGGUUAAAACUCAAAUGAAUGGACGGG
rnacentral:rRNA from 1 species